rnacentral:rRNA from 1 species
UACGGAGGGUGCUAGCGUUGUUCGGAAUUACUGGGCGUAAAGCGCCCGUAGGCGGCUUUGUAAGUUAGAUGUGAAAGCCCAGGGCUUAACCCUGGAAUUGCCUUUAAGACUGCAUCGCUAGAAUCGUGGAGAGGUGAGUGGAAUUCCGAGUGUAGAGGUGAAAUUCGUAGAUAUUCGGAAGAACACCAGUGGCGAAGGCGACUCACUGGACACGUAUUGACGCUGAGGUGCGAAAGCGUGGGGAGCAAACAGG